CUGUUCUUUCUGUUUUUGGUUUUUGUUUUCUUUUUCCUUCCUUUCUGUGGGUUUCUUGACAACUUUUCAGAAUUUUGAAUUAUAUGUAGUAUUUUUGAGUGUCUGUCUUCUCUCCUUCCAGAGUCUUCUAAUGCUUGUUUUGCAUACACUGUGCAGGGAUUUCAGUCGUAUUUAGUGGAAGAAAUAGGGAACAGUAUGUCUACUCCAUCUUCCUGGAAGUAGAAGUCUGACUCUCUUUUUAUUAACAGCUUUAUCGAGAUAUGAUUCACAUGUCAUAUAAUUCAACCAUUUACAGUGUACAAUUCAAUGGCUUUUAGUAUAUUCACAGAAUUAUGCAAUCAUCACCAAAAUGCAUUUUAGAACCUCUUUCUCACUCCAAAAGCAAACCCUAUACCCCUUAGCCAUUACCCCUUCGCCUCUCCCAACCCGACCCUAGGCAACCACGAAUCUACCUUUUAUUUCUACAGAUUUUCCUGUUCCAUGCAUUUCUUAUAGAUGGAAUCAUAUAAUAUGUAGUCCUUUGCAACUGACUUCUUUCACUUAAUAUAAUGUUUUCAAGGUUUAUCCAUGAUGUAGCAUGUAUAAGCAUUUCACUUUUUAUUGCCAAAUAAUAUUCUAUUGUAUGGAUAUACUACCACCCCACUUUAAAAAAAUCAUUUUUUCUGUAAUCGUAUUUUAACUAAAACUUGCCAAAACAAAAAUACAAAUGUUAAAAAAUUAUACUUGAGAAAGUAUAAAUUUUUGUUUUAGUAACAAGACCAAAUGCUCCAAUUAAAUUAUAGUUACCUAUAACUUGCUCCUUCUGAUGCAUUUUUCUUUGUAUUGUCUGUCAUAUUUAUCUAAUAUAUGAAUAACUUUCUGAUUGUAAUUGGCUCACAGUCCAGUUGGAAGGAUUGACAUUCAGUGUGAUUUCUUCUUUGAUUGGGAUAAGCAUCCGGUGCUAUGAGAAGACGGAGUAGGGAAACCAAACCUGGGUGGCUUCCCAAGGCGAUGUCAGCUAUGAGCCAUGUUAUUUGAAAGUAUGUGAAUUAUCCAGAGGAGAAGAAAGAUGGAUGGGGAGAGAUUUCUAGGGAACAUGUUCAAAGUCACAAAGGAAAAGAGAACAUGGACAAGGUAAGCAAACAUGGAUGAAAACUCUCCAGGGGGAGAAUUAUUAGGUGAAGACCAAGUGGGCACUGCUCCUAGCCAGUAUUUGCCUGAACACAUCGCUGGGCCUGCUUCACGUCGCUCCAGUACUCGUCUCCCGUCUCUCUCCAAGGAUGGCCUCCUCUUACUCACCUGCUUUGCAUAUUCUAAAAAUUCUUUGAGACUUGUCUCAGUGUCUUCCUCCUCCGGAGAUGAGCUUCUGAAGCUUUACAUUCUUAGAACUUUUAUUUGUGAUACUCAUAUAGCUCACGUAACACUUAUCUUACAUUGCCCUGUUCUUUCUUAACAUUCUAAUUAUAUUUCAAGCUCCUGGAGGGCACAGACCAUAUUUUCUAUCUACCAAAUCCCCGGGAGGGAUUUAAAAGAUCACUUAGAAAGGUGGUCCCUUAGCUGAUUAUCCAUAUCUUUUGGGAGCUUUUUAAAGAUAUGAAUUCUCAGGUCCCAUCUUAUAUGUAAUGAAUCAGAUGUUGUGUGUGUGUUUGUCUUUGUUUGCUGAGGGCAGAGUCAGGUAGAGGGAUGUGAAAAGAAGCUAUGUUUUUGGUUUUUUGGGGUUUUUUUUGAGGAAGAUUAGCUCUGAGCUAACAUCUGCUGCCAAUCCCCCUCUUUUUGCUGAGGAAGACUGGCCCUGAGAUAACAUCUGUGCCCAUCUUCCUCUAUUUUAUGAGGGACGCCAACCACAACAUGGCUUGACAAGCGGUGCAUGGGUCCACACCCAGGAUCUGAACCAGCGAACCCCAGGCCGCCGAAGCAGAACGUGUGAACUUAUCCGCUGCGCCACCGGGCUGGACCCCUAUGUUUUUGUUUUUUGUUCUACAAGACUUACUGUCUACAAAAACUGUCUACAAAAUAUAGCGCCUCCUACUGCCCCCCAGUACAUAGUUGUCUAUUUUUAGUUGUGGGUCCUUCUGGUUGUGCUACGUGGGACACCGCCUCAGCACAGCCUGAUGAGUGGUGCCAUGUCCGCACCCAGGAUCUGAACCGGUGAAACUCUGGGCUACUGAAGCAGAGCGUGCAAACUUAACCACUCGGCCACGGGGCCAGAAGAAGGAGAAAAGAAGAUUGGUGACAGAUGUUAGCUCAGGGCACUCUGAGUGAAUGGGCUUAACAGAGAACCUGCUUGGGUCAUACUCAUCUCGAUAAUUCUGUCGCCUGUGUACAGAACAUCACCUUCUGACAUUUUCUGUCCCCGGAACAAUUCAGUUCCUUACGUUGCAGAAGAACGUUCGAGAGUGGCAAUGGCAAGGUUUUUUUUUUCUUUCUUUCUCCCAAAGAGAAUGUUAGCUUUAUCAAACUGCAUUAAAUAUUCCUUGCCUUCACUUGGACUCAAGUGGUAUAUUCUUGAG
ensembl:lncRNA